rfam:Lachnospiraceae bacterium strain KH1P17 genome assembly, contig: Ga0059119_102
GGUUCUGAAUUGAACCGGCCGAAGACAGCAGGUGCGCGGAUGCGCGUAAGGCGAAAACGCCUGCCGAGGAAAUAAGAGUUUUUAUUUAAUUGACUUUUAUGGGCUCCUGUCUUUUGGCGGGAGCCUUUUCGUUUAUCGUA